rnacentral:rRNA from 1 species
AGCAAGUAGCGUUGGGCACUCUAGCCAGACUGCCGGUGGAUAAAUACGGAGGAAGGUGGGGACGACGUCAAAUCAUCAUGCCCUUUAUGUCCUGGGCUACACACGUACUACAAUGGCCGUUACAACGGGAAGCGAAGGAGCAAUCCGGAGCAAAUCCCUUAAAGGCGGUCCCAGUUCAGAUUGUGGGCUGAAACUCGCCCACAUGAAGGCGGAAUUGCUAGUAAUUGCAGAUCAGCAUGCUGCAGUGAAUACGUUCCCGGGCCUU